rnacentral:rRNA from 1 species
CCCUUAGAUGUCCUGGGCCGCACGCGCGCUACACUGACGGAGCCAGCGAGCGUGUCCUUCGCCGAAAGGUGCGGGUAAUCUUGGCAGCCUCCGUCGUGCUGGGGAUAGAUGGUUGCAAUUAUUGAUCUUGAACGAGGAAUUCCUAGUAAGCGCGAGUCACCAGCUCGCGUUGAUUACGUCCCUGCCCUUUGUACACACCGCCCGUCGCUACUACCGAUUGAAUGCUCAGGUGAGCCAUUCGGACUUUCAUCAUGCUGGUUUCCAGUUUUGAUGAAGGAAAGUCUUGCGAACCUUAUCAUUUAGAGGAAGGAGAAGUCGUAACA